rnacentral:rRNA from 1 species
UACGAAGGGGGCUAGCGUUGCUCGGAAUCACUGGGCGUAAAGGGCGCGUAGGCGGCCGAUUAAGUCGGGGGUGAAAGCCUGUGGCUCAACCACAGAAUUGCCUUCGAUACUGGUUGGCUUGAGACCGGAAGAGGACAGCGGAACUGCGAGUGUAGAGGUGAAAUUCGCAGAUAUUCGCAAGAACACCAGUGGCGAAGGCGGCUGUCUGGUCCGGUUCUGACGCUGAGGCGCGAAAGCGUGGGGAGCAAACAGG